UUCACUUUCUUACCCUUACAGCCAGGAGACUGGGUCUGGGUAGCACACCCCUCCUCCCCUUUCCAACAAAAUGGAAGGGUCCCUAUCAGGUUAUAUUCACCAUCCCCGCUGCUGCAAAGUUAACAUCCUUUCCCUAUUGUAUACACCAUUCCAAAUUUAAAAAGGCACCCGGCCCACACCCCGAAGUCUCCUCACCCCGGAAAUAUUCUUCCUUUCCCACAGGACCAACCUCGCUGUGCCUAACAAGAAUUCCAGAAGUCACCCAUCCGAAAGGCACUGGCCCAUGACACUCUCCACUUCCAAUCUUAAAUCUUUUACUUCAUACCUUGUCUCAGAUCUCUCCUGGUACCCCUUCCCCACGCCCUUAGAUAAUCCAUCUCAAUUCCUCAUGCUAAUUGAGGAGCUAUGGCUGCAAGGCACCUUCCAGGAUUUCACACCUACACAAAUCUCCUUUUUCUCCUUUUGCCUUCUCUGCUUAUGGGAUAUUCUGAGUCCCCACCCCCAAUCACUGACAGCUGGGCCCCCUUCAUCAGCCUCACACACCACGUAUUAAGUCAGUCACAAUCUCCCCUCUCCUCUAACUGCUGGAUUUGUCUUUCUACACACACCCAAUGAUUCACGGCUCUUCCGGCUGACCUACUUACAUGGACACAGUCCAACGUGAGCUUACACAUUUCUUACUUGGCUAUACCAUUCUUGGCUGAUUCAUUCCUGAAACCGGUUCAUAACCUGGAAACUCAGCUAAACACCUUUCCUUCAAACUCAGCUCUCUCAGCAUGGUUUCAGGUAGGGCUGUUGCCCUCCUUCACCUAAUAGCUUCUGGACUAACAUCCAUACAAACCAACACAGCAUCAUCUAAACCACCAAUAUGGGGGUACCAUUUCUACUCAAACUUCCUUCAUAUCCCCACCCCCCUUAUGUCUCAGCCGAACCUACCCUAAUCCAGCCCACGCCACAAUGGUGGGACAGGUUCCCCAGUCCCUAUGUGGUCUUAUUUUUACCCUUGCACUCCCUGUAGACCAUCAAUUCUACACCCUAAUUACAAAAUCAUAUCCACCUCUGCCUGGCAGAAGGUGUUAUGCUUUUCUGGCUCGCCUACCAUCCACACAUCCCUACACCUCACCACCGGAUCCUCUUUUCUUUCCUUCCAUCCAAUUCCUGGCUUCCCCGCUGCCAACUCUGCUCUCUAUGUCUCCAGUUUAAAGGUGCCCCCUGGAAAAAAUGUAACAAUUCCCUCACCUGUGACUGGUACCUGACAGCCACCACACCGGGGCAGCAAUGGCUAACGGUUGACAAAGACAAUUUCUUUCUCUCUCCAAAACCAAACAGCCUUCAUCAACUCCCUAGCCAAGACUCCCUAUCAGGCCCUUACAGGUGCCGCUCUGGCUGGCAGUUACCCAAUUUGGGAAAACGAAAAUACCCUAUCAUGGCUACCUACCUUCACCUACAACUUCUGCCUGUCCACCCCCAGUCUCUUCUUUUUGUGUGAUACAAACUGAUAUCUUUGCCUACCAGCCAACUGGUCAGGAACUUGCACCCUGGUCUUUCAGGCUCCAACCAUCAACAUCCUACCCCCUAACCAAACUAUUCUAAUUUCUGUAGAAGCCUCUAUCUCCUCUUCACCCAUAAGAAAUAAAUGGGCUCUACAUCUCAUCACCCUGCUAACAGGAUUAGGCAUCACUGCUGCACUUGGCACUGGAAUAGCAGGCAUAACCACCUCAAUCACCUCAUACCAAACACUAUUCACAACCCUUUCUAACACCGUAGAAGAUAUGCACACUUCCAUUACCAGUCUCCAACGACAAUUAGACUUCCUCGUGGGAGUCAUCCUUCAAAACUGGAGAGUCCUGGACCUCCUAACCACUGAGAAAGGGGGUACCUGCAUAUACCUCCAGGAAGAAUGCUGUUUCUGUGUUAAUGAAUCUGGCAUUGUUCAUAUCGCAGUUCGUAGGCUUCAUGACAGGGCUGCAGAGCUUUGACAUCAAGUCGCUGACUCCUGGUGGCAAGGAUCAUCCCUUCUAAGAUGGAUACCCUGGGUUGCCCCCUUCCUAGGACCCCUGAUCUUCCUCUUCCUGUUACUAAUGAUUGGGCCAUGCAUAUUUAACCUUGUAUCCCGCUUCAUUUCCCAAAGGCUGAAUUGUUUUAUCCAGGCAAGCAUGCAAAAACACAUUGAUAAUAUAUUUCACCUUUGCCACGUCUAAUACCAGAGCCUACGAGGAAACCAUUCGGAAGCUCCAGAACCCAGGCCCUAAUCACAACGCCCCUAUCCAGCAGGAAGCAGCCAGAUGAUCAACGACGCCCUUUUUCCUUUUUAUACUAAAGUAAGAAAUAAGAAUGUUAGCCCAAACUGCACUAUUUUGCAGACCCCUACCAUUUUACAAACUGGUCAGAGUGGAAAAUUCCACCAGGGCCUGAGCUGUGAGAAACAUCCUGUCAGGCAGGUCCCAGGCCUAACCCCUGGCUGCACUAAAUUCCUUCAUUAUCAGCAGCCAAACACACCGCCCCCACCCCAUUUUCACAACAAUCCCAGACCUCUCCUGCCCGGGACUGUAACUGGUCCAGCCUGUAAGCGGGAAGGGGGCUCUGGCACUAGCUGGUACCCCCUCUCCGCAGGUCUUUCUCCCAAUAAAUCUGUGUUGCCAUUG
rnacentral:lncRNA from 1 species